rnacentral:ncRNA from 1 species
UGUCUCCUCCACCUCCUCAAAACUGGUGGAUUCAGCCUCAAGCUGCAAAGCUUGAGGCUUUUUUU